GGUAGAUUGGAAGCCAGCAGUUACAGUCUAAUGACUAUUGAUUUCCAGUGGUAGUUAGAUACCUCAAAAUAAAUGAAGGAAGGAAGGAAAUGCAUGCUCUUGCAACUGCCCCUGUGUCUCCAGAGCUGGGGCCGCACAAGGGCUGUCUGCGGAGGCAGAAGUACCUCCCUGGCUUCCCGAGAGGUCUCCUCCAAGAGUGAGAGAGGACAAAACAUGCCACUGAUGAUGAGGACAAAUGUUCUUCCUGGUGCUGUGAUCCUCAGCACCAUCCAUAUUCAUCGCUGACAGACCGCAGUGGGUUGGCUUGGUGGUGUCCUGCUUCUCUCCCAGCUUGAAAUCCUAUUUUGUAAAUGGCUCUGAGCCCUGAGCAGYGAUUGGGAGCGAGGACCAGCUUUGGCUAACCUUCUCCUGGUGACAGCCUGCUCAGCUGGGUCUGUUUCUCAGUCCUUUUCCCCAGCUUUCUUCCCUCCACAUUGUCGUUCUGUGCUGCCUGGCCAAGAAAUUGCAUCUGAUGUUUCCAAUCAAUGCAGCUAAGGAAGACAGAUGCCAAUGGAGUGGAUAUUUCACAGCUCUCCUGAGCACCCCAACCUGCUGAUGUCAUCUGACUUCUGUAUCAAUACCAAAAAGAGUUGGGAUAUUUCAGCAACACAAUGCAUCACAUUGGUGGCCAGUGGCCAUCCGAGUGCGUUAUUUCAGGUUGUGUACGCUGCACACAGGGUCUGUGGCAUUUUCAAGGCGAAGCACAAACAUGAAGGUAAUGGAGAUGGAGCUGCGAGGAAGGAGAAGUCCUCUGGGACUGUUGGAAGAAACAAACAGUAGGCUGCUAUUGAGCAUUGAUUUGGCUUGUUGGGCGGCUGCUGUUUUUUUCCCUAUUCAAUCAGCCAUGCCUUAUAGAUGGAAGUGACUUUCUGUCAGUGGAGUCGAAAGAGAAUUCGUCAUUAUCUGCCGAAUUUGGGGCUGCUCUUUCCCCGGYGAGAUCAGAGCUGCUGAGGUUUGUGCUGUCCAGCGCCGGGGCGCAAUGGGGAAAYGCAUCUCUGCUUCGGGCCAGCCCGGGCAGACGUGUCCCGAGCACCUCCCGUGAUGCAGCCCGGCUCGUUG
rnacentral:lncRNA from 1 species